rnacentral:rRNA from 1 species
GAUGAACGCUGGCGGCGUGCCUAAUACAUGCAAGUCGAGCGAACAGACGAGGAGCUUGCUCCUCUGACGUUAGCGGCGGACGGGUGAGUAACACGUGGAUAACCUACCUAUAAGACUGGGAUAACUUCGGGAAACCGGAGCUAAUACCGGAUAAUAUAUUGAACCGCAUGGUUCAAUAGUGAAAGACGGUUUUGCUGUCACUUAUAGAUGGAUCCGCGCCGCAUUAGCUAGUUGGUAAGGUAACGGCUUACCAAGGCAACGAUGCGUAGCCGACCUGAGAGGAUGGUCGGCCACACUGGAACUGAGACACGGUCCAGACUCCUACGGGAGGCAGCAGUAGGGAAUCUUGCGCAAGGGGCGAAAGCCUGACGGAGCAACGCCGCGUGAGUGAUGAAGGUCUUCGGAUCGUAAAACUCUGUUAUUAGGGAAGAACAAAUGUGUAAGUAACUAUGCACGUCUUGACGGUACCUAAUAAGAAAGCCACGGCUAACUACGUG